AUUGAACGCUGGCGGCAGGCUUAACACAUGCAAGUCGAACGAGUGGCGGACGGGUGAGUAAUGCUUGGGAAUCUGGCUUAUGGAGGGGGAUAACGACGGGAAACUGUCGCUAAUACCGCGUAACAUAGGAUGAGCACAAGUGGGAUUAGGUAGUUGGUGGGGUAAUGGCCUACCACGCCGAAGAUCUGUAGCUGGUCUGAGAGGAUGACCAGCCACACCGGGACUGGGCCACGGCCCGGACUCCUACGGGAGGAAGCAGUGGGGAAUAUUGCGAAAUGGGGGAAACCUGACGCAGACAGGCGGCGUGAAUGAAGAAGGCCUUCGGGUUGUAAAUUUCUUUCGGUGACGAGGCGUUAAUCACAGAAGAAGCACCGGCUAACUCCGUGCCAGCAGCCGCGGUAAUAC
rnacentral:rRNA from 1 species